rnacentral:rRNA from 1 species
GACGAACGCUGGCGGCGUGCCUAAUACAUGCAAGUCGAACGCUUCUUUCCUCCCGAGUGCUUGCACUCAAUUGGAAAGAGGAGUGGCGGACGGGUGAGUAACACGUGGGUAACCUACCCAUCAGAGGGGGAUAACACUUGGAAACAGGUGCUAAUACCGCAUAACAGUUUAUGCCGCAUGGCAUAAGAGUGAAAGGCGCUUUCGGGUGUCGCUGAUGGAUGGACCCGCGGUGCAUUAGCUAGUUGGUGAGGUAACGGCUCACCAAGGCCACGAUGCAUAGCCGACCUGAGAGGGUGAUCGGCCACACUGGGACUGAGACACGGCCCAGACUCCUACGGGAGGCAGCAGUAGGGAAUCUUCGGCAAUGGACGAAAGUCUGACCGAGCAACGCCGCGUGAGUGAAGAAGGUUUUCGGAUCGUAAAACUCUGUUGUUAGAGAAGAACAAGGACGUUAGUAACGGAACGUCCCCUGACGGUAUCUAACCAGAAAGCCACGGCUAACUACGU